GUGGGGUACGGGGACAUCUAUCCCACCACUCCGCUAGGAAAGGUCAUUGGCACGGUGUGUUGUAUAUGCGGCGUACUGGUAAUUGCUUUGCCCAUUCCCAUCAUCGUUAAUAAU
rfam:Phlebotomus papatasi Contig707.10, whole genome shotgun sequence.